rnacentral:lncRNA from 1 species
CCCCAAGCCCCACAACCUUAUCAUGACAGGUCACAUCAUUUACAAUUCAGACUUCCUCGUGACUGACAUUCCUUUUCCUCAUUGCAUCAUCGUGCAUUAGAGUCCUAAUUUCUAAAGAGAAGGGAUACAAUUGCAAAUAAAAACUUCAUAGGCUCUUUAGGGGCAUUUAAAGUCUUCCAUAAAUGGAGCCAGUAGCUAUAGCUGAGAUGGACUGGGUCAAGACUCUGAAAAGGGCUGUCUGUGAUAACACAAGUUCAUUCUUCCAUUUUUGGACUUUUUUUGUACCUGCUUUCGUCAUGAAAUUAUAUCUCACGUUAGCUGUGCCAGGGAUUUUUUUUUUUUCAAAAGUCAAUUUGAUGUCUUUUCAAAACUGCACAUGAUUAUCUUUAAAUCAGGAAAGAGGCCAAGACUUACGGACUGUACUAAGUUAGCAGCCCUCCCAAGAAAUGAAAUUUGAGGUCCAAGAAAAAGAACUGCCAUGUAGAAUGAGACCACAGUAGAAAACCACCUCUUAAUACCUCCCAAGCUUAGGAUGAAGUUUUAAUUACCCCCAAAGAACAAGCCAACAAACAAAAAAUGCUUAUGCACACAGAUAAAUAUAACACAGUAUUGUAUACAUUAACAUAUAUUUGGAUUUUUAAAAAAUCGGUAUAAUUUAUAUAAAUUUUGUAAGUGUAAAGUUUGAUAAAAGGUAUUUUUCCAAACACCAAUUAAAUAGAAAUAUCAACUCUGAUGAUUUCGAAAUAUUUACUUGAUACAUUAUUAACGGGAAAUCUAGGCCAAUUCCCAUGUAUUUCAAAUAGUGACAAAAGAUAUAAAAUGAUUCCAUUUAUAACUCAAAGCCUGGAGUCGCUGCAAGUAAAACUGUUUUAAUGUUACGUAUCACAAAUCCUUAGUGCUAUCAGCGUAUAUGUUUUGGAGUAUAGACUCACGUUCCAACACAAACCCUCGUAAACACAUCCUCCAUGUAGUGCAAACCUGGGAGGAAGUGAAAUAGGCCACUCCCGCAAAACGCAUCUCAACCCUCCCAAGCAACAGCUCUUGUUGUUGAAGUUUCCCUUGACAAACAUGAAAAGUCACCGAUGACUAGGAGGCGAUAGCUCAGUUCAUGUCUCAGGGGUCAAACGUGGGGGGCUUUUUCUCUGGUUUGGGAACAUUCUCAAGUAACCGUAAGAGAACUUUCUACAUGAGCAAGAAGAAAAGGAGAUUUUAAAUCUUUUACUUGCUUUGGAGCUCAUUCACUUUGACAAUACACAAAUAUUUCUGUAAAUAGCCCCAAAUCUUUCCUACGUGAGGAAAGUUGUUUUUUUAAGACUUUAUCAUUACCUGUCAGCAGCCAGUGACACAGCUGAUAUGUGGCUUCUUUCCUAAACCAUUUAAAUAUAAAAGUUGUCCCCACCACAAAUUACAGAGUGAGUGGCAGUGCAAACUGGAUAAAUGGACUUCAUUUUCGAAAUUUAUCCUUUUUUUCCUCCUUACAUAAUCAAAAACUCAAGUAUCUGAGGGAGCCAUUUUAACAAUUCUGCUCUUAAGUAGUAAUUAAAGCGGCCGCUGCAGAGGAGUUUUAUGUCUUUAUAAAUGUCAGCUCAAUUCUAACGAAUCCAAGCUCCUCAGCAGCUACCAACUCCAUGAAUACAAAAAAUUCUGAAAUGUCUUUUUGCCACUUAUACACUUACAAAUCAUGAGGCAAAGUGAAAACCCCAAUCAACUGUGUGUGUCCCUUUCAUUAAUCCUUGAGCCAACAAUGACUGGCAUGCAUUCUAACGCCAGAACUCUUUCCCAAUUAUUGAGAGUAAACAUGAUGCUGACGCUGCAGAAAGACUUAAAUAUCUGAUGACACUUAAUUCCAGAGGGAUCUUAUUGGAGAAUUUAUGAAUAUGACUGGUUUCUGUCAUUGGAGUUUUUCUUUAACAUACAGACAAACCUAUCUCUUUUUUUUCUAAAUAGAUACUAAAAAAGAGUAGAAUUUUUUCUUUCCUGUUGUGGCACAGUGGUUAACGAAUCCGACUAGGAACCAUGAGGUUUUGGAUUCAAUCCCUGGCCUUGCUCAGUGGGUUAAGGAUCCGGCGUUGCUGUGAGCUGUGGUGUAGGUUGCAGACACAGCUGGGAUCCCACAUUGCUGUGGCGCUGGCAUACGCCGGUGGCUACAGCUCCUAUUUGACCCCUAGCCUGGAAACCUCCAUAUGCCGCUGGGGGGGCCCUAGAAAAGGAAAAAAGACAAAA